CUGGUACUCCCUCCGUCCAGAAAUACUUUUCAUCAAAAUGGAUAAAAGGAGAUGUAUCUAGAUGUAUUUUAGUUCUAGAUACAUCUUUUUUAUCCAUUUUGAUGACAAGUAUUUUCGGAUGGAGGGAGUAUAAG
rnacentral:pre_miRNA from 1 species